rnacentral:rRNA from 1 species
AGAGUUUGAUCAUGGCUCAGGAUGAACGCUAGCUACAGGCUUAACACAUGCAAGUCGAGGGGCAGCAUGGUCUUAGCUUGCUAAGGCCGAUGGCGACCGGCGCACGGGUGAGUAACACGUAUCCAACCUGCCGUCUACUCUUGGACAGCCUUCUGAAAGGAAGAUUAAUACAAGAUGGCAUCAUGAGUCCGCAUGUUCACAUGAUUAAAGGUAUUCCGGUAGACGAUGGGGAUGCGUUCCAUUAGAUAGUAGGCGGGGUAACGGCCCACCUAGUCUUCGAUGGAUAGGGGUUCUGAGAGGAAGGUCCCCCACAUUGGAACUGAGACACGGUCCAAACUCCUACGGGAGGCAGCAGUGAGGAAUAUUGGUCAAUGGGCGAGAGCCUGAACCAGCCAAGUAGCGUGAAGGAUGACUGCCCUAUGGGUUGUAAACUUCUUUUAUAAAGGAAUAAAGUCGGGUAUGCAUACCCGUUUGCAUGUACUUUAUGAAUAAGGAUCGGCUAACUCCGUGCCAGCAGCCGCGGUAAUACGGAGGAUCCGAGCGUUAUCCGGAUUUAUUGGGUUUAAAGGGAGCGUAGAUGGAUGUUUAAGUCAGUUGUGAAAGUUUGCGGCUCAACCGUAAAAUUGCAGUUGAUACUGGAUAUCUUGAGUGCAGUUGAGGCAGGCGGAAUUCGUGGUGUAGCGGUGAAAUGCUUAGAUAUCACGAAGAACUCCGAUUGCGAAGGCAGCCUGCUAAGCUGCAACUGACAUUGAGGCUCGAAAGUGUGGGUAUCAAACAGGAUUAGAUACCCUGGUAGUCCACACGGUAAACGAUGAAUACUCGCUGUUUGCGAUAUACAGCAAGCGGCCAAGCGAAAGCGUUAAGUAUUCCACCUGGGGAGUACGCCGGCAACGGUGAAACUCAAAGGAAUUGACGGGGGCCCGCACAAGCGGAGGAACAUGUGGUUUAAUUCGAUGAUACGCGAGGAACCUUACCCGGGCUUAAAUUGCAGAUGAAUUACGGUGAAAGCCGUAAGCCGCAAGGCAUCUGUGAAGGUGCUGCAUGGUUGUCGUCAGCUCGUGCCGUGAGGUGUCGGCUUAAGUGCCAUAACGAGCGCAACCCUUGUUGUCAGUUACUAACAGGUUCCGCUGAGGACUCUGACC